GGCGGUGGAGCAUGUGGUUUAAUUCGAAGCAACGCGAAGAACCUUACCAGGCCUUGACAUGCAGAGAACUUUCCAGAGAUGGAUUGGUGCCUUCGGGAACUCUGACACAGGUGCUGCAUGGCUGUCGUCAGCUCGUGUCGUGAGAUGUUGGGUUAAGUCCCGUAACGAGCGCAACCCUUGUCCUUAGUUACCAGCACGUUAUGGUGGGCACUCUAUGGAGACUGCCACCUAAAGUGGAGGAAGGUGGGGAUGACGUCAAGUCAGCAUGGCCCUUACGUCCGGGGCUACACACGUGCUACAAUGGCCGGUACAAAGGGUUGCGAAGCCGUGAGGUGGAGCGAAUCUCAAAAAGCCGGCCUCAGUUCGGAUUGGAGGCUGCAACUCGCCUCCAUGAAGUCGGAAUCGCUAGUAACCGCAGAUCAGCUACGUUGCGGUGAAUACGUUCCCGGGCCUU
rnacentral:rRNA from 1 species